rnacentral:misc_RNA from 1 species
UUUCCGUAGGUGAACCUGCGGAAGGAUCAUUACAGAGUUCAUGCCCUCACGGGUAUAUCUCCCACCCUUGAAUAUUUAUACCUUAGUUGCUUUGGCAGGCCGUGGAAACACCAUGGGCUCCGGCUUAUGCGUGCCUGCCAGAGGAAACAAACUCUGUUUUUAGUGAUGUCUGAGUACUAUAUAAUAGUUAAAACUUUCAACAACGGAUCUCUUGGUUCUG